rnacentral:misc_RNA from 1 species
AACGUCUGGAUAUGGUGAAAGAGUUCAACGAACUGUGCCACUCACACGGUCUGGUAAGCAUCAUUGAGCCAGUCGUCCGCCCACCGCGUCGUGGCGAUAAAUUCGAUCGCGAACAAGCGAUCAUCGAUGCCGCCAAAGAGCUGGGCGACAGUGGCGCUGACCUCUACAAAGUUGAAAUGCCGCUUUAUGGCAAAGGUCCGCAACAAGAGCUUCUCUGUGCUUCACAACGUCUGAAU